GUUCUACUCCCCCGUCCGAAAAUACUUGUCAUCAAAAUGGACAAAAAGAGAUGUAUCUAGAAUUAAAAUACAUCUAGAUACAUUCCCUUUUAUCCAUUUUGAUGACAAGUAUUUCCGGACGGAGAGAGUACAUG
rfam:Triticum aestivum genome assembly, contig: Triticum_aestivum_CS42_TGACv1_scaffold_603774_7DL